UACGUAGGCAGCAAGCGUUGUUCGGAGUUACUGGGCGUAAAGCGUGCGCAGGCGGUUCUAUAAGACAGAUGUGAAAUCCCCGGGCUCAACCUGGGAACUGCAUUUGUGACUGUAGAGCUGGAGUGCGGCAGAGGGGGAUGGAAUUCCGCGUGUAGCAGUGAAAUGCGUAGAUAUGCGGAGGAACACCGAUGGCGAAGGCAAUCCCCUGGGCCUGCACUGACGCUCAUGCACGAAAGCGUGGGGAGCAAACAGG
rnacentral:rRNA from 1 species